rnacentral:rRNA from 1 species
UGAGGGAUAUUGGUCAAUGGGCGCAAGCCUGGACCAGCGACGCCGCGUGGGUGAAGAAGGUCUUCGGAUCGUAAAGCCCUUUUCCCACUGAAGAGGAAGGACGGUAGGUGGGGAAGAAGUCUCGGCUAACUACGUGCCAGCAGCCGCGGUAAAACGUAGGGAGCAAGCGUUGUUCGGAUUUACUGGGCGUAAAGGGCGCGUAGGCGGCGCGGUAAGUCACUUGUGAAAUCUCUGAGCUUAACUCAGAACGGCCAAGUGAUACUGCUGUGCUAGAGUGCGGAAGAGGCAACCGGAAUUCUUGGUGUAGCGGUGAAAUGCGUAGAUAUCAAGAGGAACACCUGAGGCGAAGGCGGGUUGCUGGGCCGACACUGACGCUGAUGCGCGAAAGCCAGGGGAGCAAACG